CAGAAUAGAAAAGUCUUCAUUAUGAAAGGAUUCCUAGCCUUUUUCCCCCGUGAUGUUGUAUUCUGUGAUGUCGAGAUACAGAAAAGCUUUAACUUGAGUUUCUGCCUGUCAGUGCUGAAGCUUUAUGUCAGCAAGAAACUGGAUCAGUUGGACUUCUGUCUCUUCAGGCAGCUGUUAAUGCACAGGAACCCUUCCGGGGUGGGGUGGGGGGAUAAAAUCAAUUGCACCUCCCUGCUAGCUUUGAGGCCACGCCUUAGGCACCCAGACCCAGAGCAUGGUGGUGGUUCACAGCACAUCCAAGAGCGAACUCACCUUUCCGAUGCUCUUCUCCGAUGCCCCCAAAGAAAGCACCCUUCCGGCUCUGUGUGUACAACACCACCGGCUCUGGAGGAUGUGGUGACCAGAACUGUACGCAGCAUCUCCAGGUAGGGUUGGGAGAGAGUCCUGCCUGAAACCUUGGAGAAGCCGCUGCCAGUCUGUGAAGACGAUACUGAGCUAGAUGGUACAUUGAUCUGUGAUUGUAAUAAACUGAAUCGACUGAGCUCGAUGGACCAAGGGUCUGAGCCGGUACCUGGCUGCUUCCUUGUCUCUACGUACCAGCCAGAUGCUUCCCAGGCGCCAGUGGAAGCGGAACACCCUGUGGAAAACCUCCUGGCAGACGCAGCUCAAGUCCUGCAGCUCUUCCUCCAGCAUCUCGGCAUCCUCAGGCUGGCUCUUCUGGAUCAAGCGUUCCCCAUGCACCAGCAACCGGUCCACACGCUCGGCAUUGGCUUGCACGUCUUGCUUGAACUCCUGGACACCAGGGACAGAGGCGGAGCAGGGUCAGGACUCAACACUGCUCCCACAGAUCCUUUGCUGAAUUCAGAACCACCCUCACAUCUGAUCUACUGUCAUGUCUGUGGAUGCUUGGAUCCCGCACAUUUGCUGGGCCCGAACACCAGAGCUGAUACCCAACAUGGAUGUAAAAAAUAAUCAUCAAGUUUCUAGCCCUCAUGAGAAGCCUUGAAAACCUUGGCAGAAAUAUGCUGUGGUUAAUUCCUGCAAAGGCUAACCCUAACCCCAAAAGAUCAAGCCUGCUUGGAACCACAUACUUUGCCUACAUCAUCCCACACCUGUGGGGAUGGACAGGGGUCAGGGUUGUGAAUCCUGAGCAGAACAAUAACUAUUAAAAAAUAUAUAUAUCUGCAGAGUAACCAAGAAAAGUAACCAAGAAAAUCUGCAAAGUGCCAAGAAAAGCAGAGUUCUGCACCCUGUUUUAAUUAACUAAAUUUGCGUAUAUUACAGUAUUCUGAUGUUUAAGUGGAAUUAGACAGAAUUCUGGAUUA